AUGGCUUUCGGUGAUUAUCCAAAGGAAUACAAUCCAGCCGUUCAUGGGCCCUACGAUCCGGCCCGUUAUUACGGAAAACGUAAG
rnacentral:lncRNA from 1 species